UUAAAAGUGGGAUUUUGUAGUGGGAUUAAAUGCUGCCUCUUCAUUUCUUUCUUUAUGGCGCCGGUGGUGGUUACAAUGGAUCUGGAUGAAGCGACUGCCCUUCAAUCUCCCCUUCAAUUCUCAAUCGGCACAUAAAGAUCAGAUGGAACCAGUGAGGAAUUGCGAGGCUCUAGGGUUCAUGUGAACAAAUUGAGAGACGAGAAUAACUCAAUGGUGGUGGCGGCUGCUAUUAAAGUAAGGUUUAGGGUUCUGCAGCGGUCAAUGGUGUUCUACGGCGGUGAACAAGCAACGGCGGAUUGGGGCUCAAGCAACGGCGGAUUGGGGCUUCGGUAGAGAGACCGGCGAGUGUUACCAACCACUACGGCCAGAGAAACCCUAGGCUUGUUAUGACAAGAAAUACCAGGAGAAGCGCACUCUUUGAAGGUGGAGAAAGUGUUGUUUCAGGGCAAGAAGUCUGAUUACCAGAAUGUUAUGGUAUUUCAGAAUUUCUUUGUAGCUUCCGGUUUGCUUGGAGACAGAGGGUCUCUCACGUUGACUUUUCCUGGUCCAAGUGCAACACUCGAGCUAUGGAGAUCAUCGUCUGAGUUCUGUGCUAUUAGAUCAAACCCAAUACGAAAUUCGUGGGUUUGGGUUUGGUAUAACCGGCUUCGGGUCAGUUUCAAUUGAACCCGUUUAGCUAAACGGGUUGUGUUUGACGGAUUCAUGAAUUACCUUUAACCCAUUUAUAUUUUAAAAAUGUAUAUUAUUUAUUGUUUUAAAUAUGUGAAUUAAAGUAUUAACAAUAUGUUUUAAACAGUUAUUUUCCAUUGAUUUCAUCAAUCUCAUAUUCACAAAUUCUUUCUUAAAAGUAUGUUAUUAAGGUUAUAAGGAUAGGAGGUUUUGCUACAAAAUAAACUGUUUAUAUUUACUUUCAACAGCUGAUCAUUCUUUUUAAUAAAGUGAUUUAGGAUUUAUUAAGGUUAAAAGACUGCAUGUGAAGAAUAUGCUGCUGCGUUUGGGGCCUGAUUUUGAGACUCAGAUGAAGGCUGCAGAUUGGGUUUUAAAAGCCCAUACACAUUUGCUGCUGCGGAUCAAGAUGAAGGCUAAACUCAUCAGCUGGUUCGUAGUCUCGGGGUACGGUAUUUGGUCCGGAAUCUGCAUGUUACAGGAGUCACAAUCUGUAUUCAUACGGGUUCUCGGUAUGGGUUAUACCUAUUCGGAAUUCUUAGUCAGUUUGUAGCUCUCCGAGUUUCCUGUGGCUGGGUGUUGACCCUAAGUUUGGCCUAUAAUUGCUGGUCUGGAACUGUUAUUUGCUGGAACGAAAUGGUGCCUGGUUACCUCAUCAUGGAAUGCGAAAGAGCGGUAUUUGGCCUUCCACAAUGUUACUGCCAUGGUUGGAUUUGGUUACCAGCAGCAGCAGCAGCAUCUGGUUCUUGGAAUGAGGCCGGCUGGUGGUCGUAGGUUUGCACUAGCUGUCUGAUUAGGUCAAAGUCGUGGGACUGGUUUCGUCCAAACAACUUCCAUGCAGCAACAGAUACGUAAAUGAUGUUUACUAAUUAUAAUACCAUGUUGUCUUACUAUUGAAUUAAUUAAAUAUAAACUCAGUUAUGAUAAAUCAUUAAUUGUGUAGUUUAUUGAUGACAAACAAUAUGUAUUUGGAGCAUAAUUAACUUUCCAUUACAGAUCUUA